rnacentral:rRNA from 1 species
GAUGAACGCUAGCGGCAGGCCUAACACAUGCAAGUCGAGGGGUAGAGCACUUCGGUGUUUGAGACCGGCGCACGGGUGCGUAACGCGUAUGCAAUCUGCCUUACACUAAGGGAUAGCCCAGAGAAAUUUGGAUUAAUACCUUAUAGUAUAUUGAUGUGGCAUCACAUUAUUAUUAAAGAUUUAUCGGUGUAAGAUGAGCAUGCGUCCCAUUAGCUAGUUGGUAUGGUAACGGCAUACCAAGGCAAUGAUGGGUAGGGGUCCUGAGAGGGAGAUCCCCCACACUGGUACUGAGACACGGACCAGACUCCUACGGGAGGCAGCAGUGAGGAAUAUUGGACAAUGGGCGCAAGCCUGAUCCAGCCAUGCCGCGUGCAGGAUGAAGCAUCUAUGGUGUGUAAACUGCUUUUGUACGGGAAGAAACGCCUCUUCGUGAAGAGGCUUGACGGUACCGUAAGAAUAAGGACCGGCUAACUCCGUGCCAGCAGCCGCCGUAAAAC